GGGAUACACUUAGAGUCCCCUGCAUGAGAGUGUUAAUAGUGUACGCUUUUGGCCGAGCGGCACGGUUAGUGAAUC
rnacentral:ncRNA from 1 species